UGAGGAAUAUUGGUCAAUGGACGCAAGUCUGAACCAGCCAAGUAGCGUGCAGGAUGACGGCCCUAUGGGUUGUAAACUGCUUUUAUAUGGGGAUAAAGUGGGGAACGUGUUCCCUUUUGCAGGUACCAUAUGAAUAAGGACCGGCUAAUUCCGUGCCAGCAGCCGCGGUAAUACGGAAGGUUCGGGCGUUAUCCGGAUUUAUUGGGUUUAAAGGGAGCGUAGGCCGUUUGGUAAGCGUGUUGUGAAAUGUGGGAGCUCAACUUCUAGAUUGCAGCGCGAACUGUCAGACUUGAGUGCGCACAACGUAGGCGGAAUUCAUGGUGUAGCGGUGAAAUGCUUAGAUAUCAUGACGAACUCCGAUUGCGAAGGCAGCUUACGGGAGCGCAACUGACGCUAAAGCUCGAAGGUGCGGGUAUCGAACAGG
rnacentral:rRNA from 1 species